rnacentral:tRNA from 1 species
GCCAUGGCUCAGUGGUAGAUCAUCUGCUUAACAUGCAGAAAGUCCCAGGUUUAAUCCCUGGUAACUCUA